UUGGAGGGCAAGUCNGGUGCCAGCACCCGCGGUAAUUCCGGCUCUAGNAGCGUAUAUUAAAGUUGUUGCAGUUAAAAAGCUCGUAGUCUGACUUCGGGCUGGGCUGUGAAGGCUCACCGCAAGGUGGGACGGAUAGCCUGGCCUUACCNUCUGAUGUGCUCUCUGCUCUUAACUGAGUGGAUCUGUCGCACAGGGGCGUUUACCUUGAGCGAAUUGGGGUGUNCAAGGCAGGCAUGAUUGNUCGUACNCGNUAGCAUGNGAUAAUANAAUAGGNCCUUGGGUUCGCUGUUGCCGGUUGGUGAGCCCAGGCAAUGAUCAACAGGGGCGGUCGGGGUGCUUCAUAUNCAGGCGCUAGAGGNGAAAUUCUUGGACCGUCUGCNNANGCCCAGAUGCGAAAGCGNNGCACCAGUACNUCCCCAUUGAUCAAGAACGAAAGUUAAGGGAGCGAAGACGAUCAGAUACCGUCGUAGUCUUAACCCUAAACGAUACCGACCAGGGAUCGAAGAUAGUCCCAUGGUUGACUCCUUCNGCGCCUUACGGGAAAC
rnacentral:rRNA from 1 species